rnacentral:miRNA from 14 species
UUUGGGGGGGGGGACUCUUAACAGUGGGAGCAGAGGCUGCCUCUGACUCUGCUGCCUGCCUUUGGGACCCUUUCCUC